rnacentral:miRNA from 1 species
GACGUCGAUAUUCGACGUCAUCAACACGAUCAACUUAGGUGUUUAUGACGUCGAUAUUCGACGUCAUAAACACGAUCAACUGUGGUGUUGAUGACGUCGAUACUCGACGUCAUAAACACGAUCAACUUUCGUGUUCAUGACGUCGAUAUUCGACGUCCUAAACACGACCAACUUAGGUGUUUAUGACGUCGAUAUUCGACGUCAUAAACACGAUUAACGUUGGUGUUUAUAACGUCGAUCUUCGACGUCCUAAAUACGAUCGACUUUGGUGUUGAUGACGUCGAUAUUCGAAAUU